GAGCUGCGCGCGCGCACGGAUGGGGCGCGAAAGAUCAAACGGGUGCAGAACGAACCCGCAACUCAGGUCUGCUGCCUGCCAGAAACCGCGGUUUAUGCUGGAAACUUUUCAAAUGGCGUUGAAAUAAAUAGAAAGAGGGGCCUUUUUGCUCCUGAAGUUCGUACGUUAUACCAGGGACCGUCUGAAAUCAAGCAGCCUACGUCGCCAAAGCCUUUUACAGCGUGGGGAUGUGAAUGGCGUGCUGUCAGCAGGACAGGUGCGAGGCAUUCAUGAAGUUUCUCUUCAGGGAACAGAAGUUCAAACUAUUCAGCACCCCUUCUUUUACAUGACCUACUUUAAAUCUGAUCCAAUGCAGCAUGCUCAAAGAGGACAAUGUUAUUGUUGUUGGUUCUAGCAUGUAAAAAUAACAGCCUUGAACUUGUGUCUAAAGAUGCGGUGUCACUUUCUGGACAAAAGAGCAGAGAUCAAGCAUCUCGGUAACUUUCUCAUUUUGUCACUGUUCUGCUUACAAAGAAGCAAAAUUGCUUGUGACAGAGUGCCUCAGUGACACCAGGCAAAGCAUUUGCAGUUAGGCCAACAUUCACGUUCAAAAAGAAGACCAAAACUCACUCACCCAGCUGGUGAAGGUGUUCUCUGACUACGCAAUACUCUUUCACAGGAAGCAGCCUAGGUCCAAGAGAUGCUCUCCCUUUAGUGACUGGCCCAAGAUGGACUCUGGGUCCACCCCCUCUGGUCUGAUGGAGAGCACAGGUGCAAAUGUUUUCCAUUGCUCCCUAGGCUAGCCGCACCCCUUAGCAGAUGUUCUACCACCAAUUCAGUCCUUCACCUGACAUUUCCCCUACAGUUACAGUUAGCUGCUUUUUUGAUUGGAAAUGCAUUUACAGUCUUCUCAAUUGUUCCAUUAUACUAUACAUUUGUUGUGAUUUAGAUUAAGAUUGUU